AUGCUCUGGUUGGAAGCCUCCUGCACUGCCUUCUGUAACAGCACCAGCUGGACGUUGUCAUGAAAUGUCACGAGUUCUGGGUGUUUCCUGGUCUGCAGUCCGCAGCUCCCUGCCAUCGGCCACCCGAUCUCACGAUGGCACAGCAGACAAACUCUGAGGAGCCUCCCAGGAGCCUAGGGCUUUUCCUCCGCCCUCUUCUGUAAGCAGACUGGACAGCAGGCCCCUGGGAUGUUCACGGGGACAGCACAGGUGGCAGGGGGGCAAGCUUCCACGAAGCAGGUGACCUGCCCGUCCUGGAGAAGAGAGACGGAGCACAGCCUGUCAGCUCUGGGAUGGCCUUCAGACUGGCGGCAGCUGACCACACGCCCCAAUGGAAGACAUUCCCACCACCGUGCUGUCAAAUAAAAACCGUAGUCACAAAGGCGACGUUCUCAGAGGACUGUGGGAGCAAGAUUCAACCAGAUGACGAGAACGUCCUGCACCUACACUUCCACCAGAACGAACGAUGAUCACUCAGAAUCCCCAGAGUCAAGUCUGCCUUAUUUUCCGAGUAACAACACCACUGGCUUUUCUCUGGAAGCACGGGGCCCCAUAACAAGGUGACCUUUCCAACCGCUGUGCCAUGCACAGGGGUAGCAGAAGCCUCCUGGAAGGGUCUCCUUCCUCAAACCCUCUCUUGCAUCUUGCAGGGCCGGGGGGCAGACAGGGUGACAGUGGCCGGAAAUGCCUGGGCCAUGAGGUGACCUUGGGAAGAGGCCACCCACAGUACAGCACCAAGCUGCAGCAGGGACCCUGCACUGCGGAGGGUCCAGCAAUCUCCACGACUGAGGGAAAAGUAAACUCGCACCUCAUUAAAACCAUCCUGGAUUUGGA